rnacentral:rRNA from 1 species
UUGAACGCUGGCGGUAUGCUUUACACAUGCAAGUCGAACGGGCUAUGGGGCUUGCUCCAUAGUUAGUGGCGAACGGGUGAGUAAUAUAUCGGAACAUAUCCGGAAGUGGGGGAUAACGUAGCGAAAGUUACGCUAAUACCGCAUAUGCCCUGAGGGGGAAAGGGGGGGAUCGCAAGACCUCUCGCUUUCGGAGUGGCCGAUAUCGGAUUAGCUAGUAGGUGAGGUAAAGGCUCACCUAGGCGACGAUCCGUAGCUGGUCUGAGAGGACGACCAGCCACACUGGAACUGAGACACGGUCCAGACUCCUACGGGAGGCAGCAGUGGGGAAUUUUGGACAAUGGGGGCAACCCUGAUCCAGCCAUUCCGCGUGAGUGAAGAAGGCCUUCGGGUUGUAAAGCUCUUUCAGCCGGAACGAAACGGUACGCUCUAACAUAGCGUGCUAAUGACGGUACCGGCAGAAGAAGCACCGGCUAACUACGU